rnacentral:rRNA from 1 species
AGAGUUUGAUCCUGGCUCAGGAUGAACGCUGGCGGCGUGCCUAAUACAUGCAAGUCGAGCGAACAGACGAGGAGCUUGCUCCUCUGACGUUAGCGGCGGACGGGUGAGUAACACGUGGAUAACCUACCUAUAAGACUGGGAUAACUUCGGGAAACCGGAGCUAAUACCGGAUAAUAUAUUGAACCGCAUGGUUCAAUAGUGAAAGACGGUUUUGCUGUCACUUAUAGAUGGAUCCGCGCCGCAUUAGCUAGUUGGUGAGGUAACGGCUCACCAAGGCGACGAUGCGUAGCCGACCUGAGAGGGUGAUCGGCCACACUGGAACUGAGACACGGUCCAGACUCCUACGGGAGGCAGCAGUAGGGAAUCUUCCGCAAUGGGCGAAAGCCUGACGGAGCAACGCCGCGUGAGUGAUGAAGGUCUUCGGAUCGUAAAACUCUGUUAUUAGGGAAGAACAAAUGUGUAAGUAACUAUGCACGUCUUGACGGUACCUAAUCAGAAAGCCACGGCUAACUACGUGCCAGCAGCCGCGGUAAUACGUAGGUGGCAAGCGUUAUCCGGAAUUAUUGGGCGUAAAGCGCGCGUAGGCGGUUUUUUAAGUCUGAUGUGAAAGCCCACGGCUCAACCGUGGAGGGUCAUUGGAAACUGGAAAACUUGAGUGCAGAAGAGGAAAGUGGAAUUCCAUGUGUAGCGGUGAAAUGCGCAGAGAUAUGGAGGAACACCAGUGGCGAAGGCGACUUUCUGGUCUGUAACUGACGCUGAUGUGCGAAAGCGUGGGGAUCAAACAGGAUUAGAUACCCUGGUAGUCCACGCCGUAAACGAUGAGUGCUAAGUGUUAGGGGGUUUCCGCCCCUUAGUGCUGCAGCUAACGCAUUAAGCACUCCGCCUGGGGAGUACGACCGCAAGGUUGAAACUCAAAGGAAUUGACGGGGGCCC